GUCCACGCCGUAACGAUGGAUACUAGCUGUUCGGAGCAAUCUGAGUGGCUAAGCGAAAGUGAUAAGUAUCCCACCUGGGGAGUACGAACGCAAGUUUGAAACUCAAAGGAAUUGACGGGGCCCGCACAAGCGGUGGAGCAUGUGGUUUAAUUCGAUGAUACGCGAGGAACCUUACCAAGGCUUAAAUGUAGAUUGACCGAUUUGGAAACAGAUCUUUCGCAAGACAAUUUACAAGGUGCUGCAUGGUUGUCGU
rnacentral:rRNA from 1 species